GAUGAACCCUAAAAAGUUCUAAAAGCACAAAGGUUUGGUCCUGGCCUUAUUAUCAAUUGUUUCUCAACUUACACAUGCAAGUCUCAGCACUCCGGUGAGGAAGCCCUUAAACCCUACCCCAGGAUAAGGAGCCGGUAUCAGGCGCAACUUCUUGCCCACGACACCUAGUUUCCACCACGCCCCCAAGGGUAAUCAGCAGUGAUAAACAUUAAUUAUAAGCGACAGCUUGACUUAGUUAGAGAGAAGAUAGUUGGCUAAUACGGUGCCAGCCGCCGCGGUUAGACCCCUGGACUAAAAUUGAUAAUCAUCGGCGUUAAGCGUGAUUAAAGUUAUUACAAGAUUAGAGUAAAACUUCUUGCCCAGCUGUGAAAAGCAUGCAUUUAGGAACCCCAUGAACGAAAGUCACUCUAUCAAAUGCUUGAAUACACGACAGCUAAGAGCACAAACUGGGAUUAGAGACCCCACUAUGCCUAGCCGUAAAAUAUUAACUCACAACCAAAAACGCCUGGGAACUACGGGCUAAGCCUAAAACCCAAAGGACUUGACGGUGUCCCACCCAACUAGAGGAGCCUGUCCUAUAAUCGAUAACCCCCGCUAAACCUCACCUCUCUUUGCUUUCUCAGCCUGUAUACCUCCGUCGCAAAUCAACCGUGUGAACGCCAAAUAGUAUGAUUUAAUGGCCCCACGCCAAAACGUCAGGUCAAGGUGCAGCCCAUAGAGAGGGAAGUGAUGGGCCACAAUCUCUAAUCUAGAACAAACGAACUACUGCAUAUGAAAUUCAGUUAUGAAGGAGGAUUUAGUAGUAAAGAGAAAACAAUGUGUUCUCUUUAACACGGCCCUGGGACGCGUACACACCGCCCGUCACCCUCUUCGAAAAUAUACACCUAGCUUUCUAACUCUAAACAAUAAAUA
rnacentral:ncRNA from 1 species